GUGCUCGUGUCAGCUGCAUAUGUUCUAAAACUGGGACAAUAUGAAGAAGAUUAGCAUGGCCCCUAAGCAAGGAGGACAUGCAAAUUCAUGAAGUGUUUCUACUGAAA